GAUGAAGAACGCAGUGAAAUGCGAUAAGUAAUGUGAAUUGCAGAAUUCAGUGAAUCAUCGAAUCUUUGAACGCACAUUGCGCCCGCCAGUAUUCUGGCGGGCAUGCCUGUUCGAGCGUCAUUUCAACCCUCAAGCCCCCGGGCUUGGUGUUGGGGAUCGGCGUGCCCUCGCGGCGCGCCGUCCCCUAAAUCUAGUGGCGGUCUCGCUGUAGCUUCCUCUGCGUAGUAGCAACACUCGCACUGGAUCGCAGCGCGGCCACGCCGUUAAACCCCCCACUUCUGAAAGUUUGACCUCGGAUCAGGUAGGAAUACCCGCUGAACUUAAGCAUAUCAAUAAGCGGAGGA
rnacentral:misc_RNA from 1 species